rnacentral:piRNA from 1 species
GACACGUCCGGGUGUGUGCGGCGCAAGC